UACGAAGGGGGCUAGCGUUGUUCGGAAUUACUGGGCGUAAAGCGCACGUAGGCGGAUAUUUAAGUCAGGGGUGAAAUCUCAGAGCUCAACUCUGGAACUGCCUUUGAUACUGGGUAUCUUGAGUAUGGAAGAGGUUAGUGGAAUUGCGAGUGUAGAGGUGAAAUUCGUAGAUAUUCGCAGGAACACCAGUGGCGAAGGCGGCUCACUGGCCCGGUACUGACGCUGAGGUGCGAAAGCGUGGGGAGCAAACAGG
rnacentral:rRNA from 1 species